rnacentral:rRNA from 1 species
GAUGAACGCUGGCGGCGUGCUUAACACAUGCAAGUCAAACGGGAAACCUAUUAUUGAAACUUCGGUCGAUUUAAUUUGUUUCUAGUGGCGGACGGGUGAGUAACGCGUGGGUAACCUGCCCUAUACAGGGGGAUAACAACCAGAAAUGGUUGCUAAUACCGCAUAAGCGCACGGGACCGCAUGGUCCAGUGUGAAAAACUCCGGUGGUAGAGGAUGGACACGCGUUGGAUUAGCUAGUUGGUGGGGUAACGGCCCACCAAGGCAACGAUCCAUAGCCGGCCGGAGAGGGUGAACGGCCACAUUGGGACUGAUACACGGCCCAAACUGCUACGGGAGGCAGCAGUGGGGAAUAUUGCACAAUGGGGGAAACCCUGAUGCAGCGACGCCGCGUGAAGGAAGAAGUAUCUCGGUAUGUAAACUUCUAUCAGCAGGGAAGAGAGUGACGGUACCUGACUAAGAAGCCCCGGCUAACUACAUGCCAGCCGCCGCAGUAACAC